rnacentral:rRNA from 1 species
CCUACGGGAGGCAGCAGUCGGGAAUUUUGGGCAAUGGGGGAAACCCUGACCCAGCAACGCCGCGUGAAGGAUGAAGUAUUUCGGUAUGUAAACUUCGAAAGAAUGGGAAGAAUAAAUGACGGUACCAUUUAUAAGCUCCGGCUAACUACGUGCCAGCAGCCGCGGUAAUACGUAGGGAGCAAGCGUUGUUCGGAUUUACUGGGCGUAAAGGGCGCGUAGGCGGCGCGGUAAGUCACUUGUGAAAUCUCUGAGCUUAACUCAGAACGGCCAAGUGAUACUGCAGUGCUAGAGUGCAGAAAGGGCAAUCGGAAUUCUUGGUGUAGCGGUGAAAUGCGUAGAUAUCAAGAGGAACACCUGAGGCGAAGGCGGGUUGCUAGGCUGACACUGACGCUGAGGCGCGAAAGCCAGGGGAGCAAACGGGAUUAGAUACCCCGGUAGUCCUGGCCCUAAACGAUGAAUACUUGGUGUCUGGAGUUCUAAUACUCCGGGUGCCGUCGCUAACGUUUUUAGUAUUCCGCCUGGGGAGUACGCUCGCAAGAGUGAAACUCAAAGGAAUUGACGG